AACGAACGCUGGCGGCAUGCCUAACACAUGCAAGUCGAACGAGACCUUCGGGUCUAGUGGCGCACGGGUGCGUAACGCGUGGGAACCUUCCUUUAGGUUCGGAAUACCUCAGAGAAAUUUGAGCUAAUACCGGAUGAUGUCUUCUGACCAAAGAUUUAUCGCCUUUAGAUGGGCCCGCGUUGGAUUAGCUAGUUGGUGGGGUAAAGGCCUACCAAGGCGACGAUCCAUAGCUGGUCUGAGAGGAUGAUCAGCCACACUGGGACUGAGACACGGCCCAGACUCCUACGGGAGGCAGCAGUGGGGAAUAUUGGACAAUGGGCGAAAGCCUGAUCCAGCAAUGACGCGUGAGUGAUGAAGGCAUUAGGGUUGUAAAGCGCUUUUAACCGAGAUGAUAAUGACAGUAUCGGGAGAAUAAGCUCCGGCUAACUCCGUG
rnacentral:rRNA from 1 species